AGGGAAUUAUGUCCACCCACCUUUCAGGCUAGAUCCCCGGACCUUUGCUGUCACCAUGUGCACCAUGUGCAAGACCUUCUGAUGCUAGCCUUCUGGUGAAGGGACUCUCUACUCAAGUAGGUUCAAGAUGGCUUGUGGAAAGACCAGAGGCGAGCAUGAAAACAAGCCGUCAAACAUUUACCAGCAUACCAACGGCUGGAGAAGACUGAGUGGCCAUCUUUCUCUACCCAUUCAUUUUACAGUAGAGGAAACUGGGAUCCAAAAGAUGAAAUGACUUGCCCAAGAUCACAGAAGAAGUAAGUGGCAAGCUUGGAAUUUGAACCCAGGUUCUCUGUCUCUAAAGCCAGCACUCUCUCCUUGCACAGUAUUUCCUGACCUAGAUAGUUCUAAAAAGAUGUUUAAAGAAGAUAUUUCUGUAAUAAAGGCUCCAAUAAGCAUUUUCCAAAGAACCAGGAUAAUAAAAUGUCCUAAGGAGAAAAGGGCAGGGAAGAAUACUGUGACGGACUGGCUCUCAAGAAAAAAGUUCCAUAUAUGUAACCAUGUGCUCUUUUCCCCAUUUCAAUAGACUGUUAAACUCCUUGUCAGUAAGGGCUGUUUCAUUUUUGUCCUAGCAUAGGGCCUGGCACAUAGAAGGCAUUUAACAAAUGUU